UGGCCUACGGGACGCAGCAGUGGGGGAUAUUGCACAAUGGGGGGAACCCUGAUGCAGCGACGCCGCGUGGGUGAAGAAGCGCCUCGGCGCGUAAAGCCCUGUCAGCAGGGAAGAAAAUGACGGUACCUGAAGAAGAAGCCCCGGCUAACUACGUGCCAGCAGCCGCGGUAAUACGUAGGGGGCAAGCGUUAUCCGGAUUUACUGGGUGUAAAGGGGGCGCAGACGGCGAUGCAAGCCAGGAGUGAAAGCCCGGGGCCCAACCCCGGGACUGCUUUGGAAACUGCCUGACUGGAGUGCUGGAGAGG
rnacentral:rRNA from 1 species